rnacentral:rRNA from 1 species
GCUUGUCCACAAAUUAAGGAGUAAAACACAAGAUUAGGGGAAAACUCCACAGUUAAGCGCGCUUGAGCCAGAGGCGUCUUGGGAUGGGUGACCACCUGGGAAGUCCUGGUUACCGGGUGCAAGCC